AAAAAACAAAAAAAAGUUAUCGACGGAUUUCAAUCUUUUUUAAGGACGUUUCUGUUUUCGUUUGUCCAACAAACUACUCUCGGCCAAAGGUAUGAAAUGUUUGUGACCUUGGAAAAGCUAGUGUUACGUUAGAAUGGAGAAAACCACUUGGAGGAAAACUAAUCCGAAAGAAUAAUAAGACAGCGACACGGAUUGAAUAACAAAUGGACACAUUCUUGCGCAAUUAGAGAAACAUGGCCGACUCAUUAAAAUGGAGAGUGGAAAAAAAGCCCCGCCCGUCAACA